CAGCUUUCGACGGUAGGGUAUUGGCCUACCGUGGCAGUGACGGGUAACGGGGAAUUAGGGUUCGAUUCCGGAGAGGGAGCCUGAGAAACGGCUACCACAUCUAAGGAAGGCAGCAGGCGCGCAAAUUACCCAAUGAAAACAGUUUCGAGGUAGUGACGAGAAAUAACAAUACAGGGCAUUAUAUGCUUUGUAAUUGGAAUGAUGGGAAUGUAAAACCCUCCCAGAGUAACAAUUGGAGGGCAAGUCUGGUGCCAGCAGCCGCGGUAAUUCCAGCUCCAAUAGUGUAUAUUAGAGUUGUUGCAGUUAAAAAGCUCGUAGUUGGAUUUCUGUCGUGGCUAUCUGGUAACGCCCGUAUGGGUGUGCACCGUGAUAGACCAUGGCAUUCUUCCGGUAGCUUCAACCGCGCUUUGGUGCGUGGUAGAUGUUCCGGAACUUUUACUUUGAGAAAAAUAGAGUGUUUCAAGCAGGCUUGUCGCCCUGAAUACUGCAGCAUGGAAUAAUAAGAUAGGACCUUGGUUCUAUUUUGUUGGCUUCUAGGACCGAGGUAAUGAUUAAUAGGGACAGUUGGGGGCAUUCGUAUUUAACUGUCAGAGGU
rnacentral:rRNA from 1 species